UGAAGACCCGUGGCCACUGCCGAAGGCUCUGUGGCACCUCGCGGCUGGGGAUGCCGAGGGGACAUGGCUGCCCACUCGCUCGGGAAGCCCCACCCCAGGCUCCCCGCAUUGUAACCUCCAGUGCCCAAGUGGGGUGGAUUCUGAGGACCUCUGCAGUCGACCCAGUGUCACCCUGAGACCCAACCCAGUGUCACCCCUGGAGACCCGAGACCUGCUCUCUCUGUCCUCUCCUGCGCCCUGGGACUGCGUCGUCCUGUCGCAGCCUCCCGUACGGGGGAAGCUCUGUCCAGCACGGGGGCCUGGCCUUUGCUGAGUGCCGGCCUCUGGACCACCUGGUGCCCCGGUCUCGCUUAUGCAGGUCACCUGGCUCCUUCUGCAGGGGCCCCACCAGAGUGAGUGUGGCUGGGGCUGCAGAGAGCAGAGGGCUCGCCCAGCACGGCCAUGGCUUACAACCAGCUGCAGACCAAGCCUGGGCUGGUCCCCAGUUGUUCUCUGAAAAAUAUUUGCUAAAUAAAUGAUAUUUUGAAAGGAGUCAAAGAACAUAAUCAGGAUCCUUAGGUGAGCGGUGCUGAGGCAGAGUCUAACACAGACUGUGCAGGUGUGAGUGCUCCCUGCCUACUCGAAGGGGAUGGUGUGAGCCAACAACAGAGUCAGAGGAGAGGAGCUGCCUGCUGCCUCACGCCCCCUCUGCUCAGGUGUGGGAGCAGCUGACCUCUCCCCAGCUCUGACCCUCCCUGGAAACACUCCACACAGCACACUGGUAGUGGGGACCAUGUGGGCUUCUGCGUCCAACACCCCCAAAUACAGGCAGCAUUUGUUAAUUGAACUGGGGGCCUCGGAGCCAUCACCCCCUUCCUGUGCUGUAAACAGCACCCCCCAGAGGCUGAGGUCACCUGCAGAAAAAAGCCAGAGGCUAAAGAGACGGCAGAGACUUCAGUGGGAGAGGGUGGCCCUGAGCUCUCCUGAGGACAGAGGGAGGCUGGUGGCUAUCACCCGGCUACCCGAGGAUGAUGUGUCCCCAUCCUGGAGAAGCGAGCAGGACUGCGGGAGGAGCAAGAAGCCAGGACCACAUUCCUGACCCUCUAGGCUCAGCUUCCCAGGCCCCAGAAGGCCCUUGGAGGAGAGACAGCAACCAGAGCUAGUCUAUCCCUUGGAAAGCGUGUCUCCCGCCGCUGCACAAAGCUGGGCCACCAGUCAGCCUGGGCAUGGGAAGAGGACCCGCCCUGGUCAUGCCCCUCUCAGGACUCCAAGGCCUUGUGCCGUGGUCAGCCAUUUCUGCCUGGGCCAGUCGUGGGGUGUGAGGAAUAGGGGCCCCGAUGGCAGCAAGUGGGGCUGGGAGGGGGUCAGUGUCAACCCUUCACAUAGCAUACAUGUCUAUCCCAGAACCACAGGGAACAGCAAGGAAACCCUCACUAGAGCCAGGAAGUGAUUAGAGCGGGGCUGCAGGAGGAAAGACUAAUGUACGAGUCUAUUGCUUUCCCAUAUGCCAACAAGGAACAAGUGGAACUUGAUGUUAAAAGCACAAGCCCAUUUACAUUUGCUUCCCCCACAGGAAGAUGCUUAGCUAUAUAGCAAAAGGAGUACAAGAUCUAUAUGAGGGAGACCACAAAGCAUUCAUGAAAGAAACGGAGAACUAAAUCAAUGGAGCACGCUCCAGGUCUGCAGAUGAGAAGACCGCAUUGUCAGGUGUCAGUUCUUCCCAAGCAGCUGUGCAGACCCAGGGAGUAACCCAGUCGCUGUCCAUCAGCGUUGAAGUCUGUAUGGAAAGUGGAGGAAGCAGAAGAGCCGACACAGUGCCAAGGAGAAGCGAGACAUCAGAGGGUGAUGCCGAGGCCGGCAGACUCUGCAGAGCUCCGAGCCUCAGGCAGCAGUACUGGUGGUGUUAGCAGGACAGAGUGGAGCCCAAGAAAGGACCCGUGUGAGCAGAGUCACAGAGAUCCAAUAGGAGAGAGGCAGCACCCAGGAGCAGAUGCUACCUGUUCCACAAACAGUGCUGGAAUAGCUGAUCAUCUGCAAGCAGAAGAAAGAAGAGAGAAAGGGGAAUUUCGACAAGGAUCUUACACCCCUUCACAAAAAGGAACCCAAAAUAGAUCACAGACCUAAACAUACAAGGCAAAGCUACACAACUCCUAGAAAUAACAGAAAAUCUAGACGGCCGUGGGUAUGGUGAUGUCUUUUUAGACACAACACCCAGGACAUGAUACAUGAGAAAUAAUCGAUAAGCUAGGCUUUAUUAAAAUUUUAAAAUUCUGUUCCGAGAGAGAUAAUGCCAAGAGAGCAAGAACACAAACUACAAACUAUAGAAAAUACUUGCAAAACGCACAUCUGAUGAAGAACUGUUAUCCAAAAAGUAGAAAGAACUCUUAAAACUCUACAAUAAAAAUCUUGAAAAAAUGGUCAGAGACCUUAACAGAUAUCUGACCGAAGAAGACGUGCAGAUGGUAAAUACACCUGUGUAAAGGUGUGCUGUGUCCUGGCGUCACCAGGAAACACCCACAGCUCAGAAUGCUGACCAGUGUGCACAGCAACAGCAGCUUUCAGCUGUUGUUGGGCCAGGGGAGACAGCACGGCCACUGGGGAAGGCAGUGCAGAGGUCUCACAAACUCAACAACUCCGACUUCUUACCAUGCGGUCCAGUGGGUGUCUAUGGGGUGUAGCCAAAGGAUUUGAAAAGUUGUGUCCACACAAAACCUGCGCACGAUGCCUAUAGCAGCUCUGUUCAUAACUGCCAAAACUUGAAAGCAACCGUUAGUAAGUGAGUGGACAGACAAAUGGGGUACAUCCAGGCAAGAAUAUCAUCUCAUACCAAGAAAUGAGGCAUCAAACUACGGAAAAAUGUGGAGGAAGUACAAGAAGCCCUUCUGAAAAGGGCACUGUGAUUGUCAAUUGUGACGUGUCAGCUUGACUUGGCUGAGGACCGCCUAGAAGAGUGGUGAACUCUGGGUGUGUCUGUGGGUGACUGACAGGUAGGCCACAAAUAAAAGGGGAAGACCCGCCCCAGAUGUGGGUGGCACAGACCAAUAGGCUUGUAGCCUGAACAGAAUAAAAAGGGAAAGAAGAAGGAAGCCUGCCCUUUUUCUCUGGAGAGGUUCCGCUGCUUGCCAGCUCCUUCGGCUAUUGGUUUCUGGUUCCUUCCAGCCUCCAGUGCAGACCUUUGCUUGCUGACGUGGACGCCUACCGACUCUGCAGUGAGCUCCAGCCUUCAGCCUCAGAAUGGGGCUGGGUCCUCCUGCUCCCCCGGGCAGGACUGUUGGAUUCCUGUCUCUGGUUCUACAGGCUGCCACUAGACUCUCUCAUCCUAUAAAUCCCUUCUGCAGCUUUCCAUAUUUUUUAUGUUGACUCUGUUCCUCUAACAAACCUAACUAGCACAGCCAUACACUGCACAAUUCCAUCUGCAUGGUGUUUUGGGAAAAGCAAACUAGGAAGACAGUGAGAAGAGCAUGGUUGCCAAGGCCGGGAGGGACGAACAGGUGGAACACCGGGUUUUCAGGAGUGAAACACUCCAGGGUGCUGCCGUGCAUUGUCCACACGUGGGAAUGUGCCGCAUGAGAGCUAAGCGGGGUGUGCGCUGUGGACUGUGGUGUGAUGAUGCUGUGUCCAUGCAGGCCCUCCGUGGUGACAAGCGUCCUGGUCCUGGGGUGUGUGGAAUCUCUGUACCUUCACCCAGUCUUCCCAAGAGCCUAAAACUGCUCCAAAAAUAGUCUCUACAUAGUUUUUAAAGAAAAGAAAAAGGGCUUUGGCAAUUUUCCAGGCCAAGGAAAUAGUGUUUGCAUGUUUUCAUUAUCAUAGAAAAUGGAACCCAAUACAGCAUGGACACUGCCGCUCCCCAACAGAGGAGGGACCCUGGUUUAUUACAAAGAGUUGGAGUUCUCAUUCACUCAAACAAAACGUGUGCUGGACGCCUCAGGAGGGAAAGACACAGCCCCCACUCUCGAGGAGUUGGUGGGUUUGUGUAAGUGUCGAUGGUUCUUGUCUUAGGAUGGUUUGGCCUAGGGUUUUGAGUUUACAAUGGUGGGAAGAUGACACAUAGUCAGUAGAAAUCAUGCUCUGGACUUUGAACUUGGGUCCUUUCCCAGGCUAGCGAUAUGUGGGUGCUGUUCUACUGGCAGCCUCAGUGAGUCACAGCUCUUGGCCUCCCUGGUGAUCACAAGGGAGUCCACCAGUGUUUGACUACCGGGCUGCAAUUUUUGGUUCUUUAUGGGUUUAUUGGGAUGCAGCUCCAUCCUAAGUCAGAGUCUGUCUGAGCUGUGUGUGAUUUAUAUCUCAAUGUCCCCACUAGAGCUUCAUGCCAUCAGAGACGGGGCUUUUGGAAGGUGGUUGGAUCUGGGGAGCUGUAGCUGACUUGCUAUUAGGAGGUGGGCUUGGUUGGGAGGCAGCUUACUGGGGGUGUGACCUGGAAGUGUCUGUCUCCCAGCUCCCUUCUCUGCUUCCUGGCCUCCCUGAUGUAAGCAGUUUCCUCCACCUAGACCUUUCCACCAUGCCCUUCCUGUCUUAGAGCCGCCAGCUGUGGACUAAAACCACGAGCCAAAAUAAACCUCUCCUCCUUUAAUUUGUGGGUAUCAGAUAUUGUGUCUAGGGAUGAGAAAGUGACUAAGAGAAGCUGUAACACGCAGAGUGCCUGGGCUUUCCUGGAUCACCGUCCAGAGUGCAGAGAGGCUCUGGAGGAAGCUGGAGUCCAUGCUGGCUGCAGGCGGAGCAGGAGGAGGUGGCCAGUGAGCAAGGAGGGUACAGACAGGAAAGCAGGCCUUUCUUGGGCUUAGCUGCCCACCCCAGCCCAGGCCACCCUUAUCCAACACAGUGGACAGAGGCCCCAGGCCCUGCCCACCUCGCCAAGUUCUGAAUAGAUGGAAUAUGGUGAAGCUGCAUUCUGCAGCCAGGUAGAUAGGAGGGAAUUAAUUACCUGCGGCCUGACCUCCACAUCCAAGCAGGCUCAGCGCUGACCCCUGGUGGACCGUGAUUGCUAUCCGUUCUCCAUGGACCUCUCAGGCUGCUCUGCGUUCUGCCUGGAACCCCCAGCGUGCAACUCCGGGCCUCCCUGCUGAUUUCCGAAGCUGUGUGAACAGUCUGGAAGUCAGAGCUGCAGUGGAACCUCUGAGCCUGCAGGUUGCAGGAGAACUUGUGACUGCAGGCCCUGUGUGGGCCCCAGGCUGAGCUCGUCUGAGUGGUCCACACUCUUGCCUCGUUCCUGAAUGCCAGCUGCGCAGCCGUGUGCUCUGAGAAACCCUGGCAAUGAGCCACACUCUUCCCUGGGGCUGCUGUGGCGCAGUUCAGGAGCCUGAGCUGGCUCCAGACCCUGGCGAUGCCUGGUGAGGGGACAGCCGUGUGUGGAUGCCAGUGACACGUUAUGUAUGCAGCACGUGCUGUGUGCUGCAGCUUCCACGCACGCCUGACCCUCGCAGCACCGGGUGUGAACACGAGUGUGGCCACUGCACAGCGCACAUCCCAUGCUGCCCCCACAUCUCUGGUCCCUUAGGCCUCUGGGCUUUAGGCCGCUGGGCCUGGGCUCAGUGCAGAGACUCGAGCAGUCGGUCACCCCACAGGCCAGGAACAACUUGUGUAACUCACAGUCGGUAAGAACAGCUCUGGCCACUUCCUGACCCUGCUGUGGGCCUUGGGGUCCUGUGUGGUGUGGCUGCCAGCAGAGAGCUCGAGAGCGCUUUGCAUGGAAGCUGUGUGUGUGUGUGUGACAUACCCGGUGACAUGCAUGUGGCGUCCCUGUGCACAUACACGGUGACAGGAUCGCCAAGUGAGGGUAUUCACUGCUUUCCUUGGUGCUGCCUUCCUGUGUCUGAGGUGGGAGCUGAAAUCCACCCUCGCUGUGCCUCCGGGAUGCAGCCCCCACCCCACUGGGCAGCCUCUCCAGCUCUCCUGACCCCUUCAGCUUUGCAGCUGCAGUUUGGUGCCAGUGGCCCACACCCUUCCAUCCCCCUCUCGCCCUGGGCACCUCUGCCCAAUGUUUCUGGGGCUCUUUGGGGCCACACGUGGACGGCCCUGCCUUGCGCAUACUUUCCGUGGCUCUGGCUCACCCCAGUCACGAGAUGCUGUCCCCUCUGGGUUCCCGGGGCGGCUUGCUUCUUUCUCUUCAGCCGAAAAAUGCAUGGUGUGUGUGGUCUCAUUUCCUCCAUCCGUGCUCCUAUUGGGGACACGGCUACACCCGUCCCUGGGGAAGGGCCUCCGCCCUGAGAGCAUGCCGGCUCUGUGAGCACCCAGCAGUGCAGGGCACCCGAGUCCUGCAGCCACGGGUGUCACCCCAGGUCGCCACAGGGGCUGGGCAGAAGGGAGGGCACCGAGCAGCCCCUGCCCGCCGACAACAGCUGCCCACACGGGCAGUGCUUCCCAGGUCCCUCAGCCUCACCUGGCCUCUCCCUCUCCGGCCACCUUGUGCCCCUCCCAGGACACGCCCAGGACACCGAACUCUGUUUAUGGGAAUGGGACUGGUGGGGGUCGUGUGACCCAGCUCAGAUGAUGAGGGUCAGCGAGAUCCUCAGCCAGAGCUCAGCCCAGCAAUCCGGCAAACCUGGAUCCCCCGCUCCUGGGUUUCCCCAUCUCUGGAAGAGCCUGUUGUUGGGGGUAGAGGAUGCUGUCCCUCGCCAUCAGCCUUGGUGGGCAUGCUGACCGGCUUCCACACUGGCCAGGGCUCUUGCUUGGCCCAAGGACGGGCUCAAGCACCUGCUGUGGGCUGGGUUCGCGCCCUAGUUCCGCAUGCUGCGUUCACGGUGGUCUCCACUGCGUGGGCCGGGGCCGGCACGGCUUGACAUUGCAGUGCCCUCAUCCUCUGAGGGCUGGCCGAGGCCAUGCUGCUCGGUUCCGUCCUGCUCCGGGAAAGGGAGCUCUGAUGACACAGACAAGCUCCCAACUCUGACAGAGCCACCUCCCUGGUGCCAGAUGUGGAACGCGGACCCAGCUCGCUGGGAGACUGACCGGCCUUCCUCCAAGCACCACGAAAGCCCCACAGCACCGCUGUCGGGGAAGCCGCUGGCCUUCAGAGCCCAGUGAGGGCCGGCAGAGCUCAGCGGCCUGUACAGGCCCACGGGUGUCAGUGGCCGCAGCUCCCCACUCAUCCUUGGGCCUCGGUGUGUGGGCACCGACCUAGAGGUGCCUGUCCUCGAUGACCAGAACCCAGCCAGGCACUGGGCCUCAGACUGGGCCACUCCCCCAUGACUCAGCCCCAGUAACCCAAGCCCUCAGGACCAGGCGUGGAUAGCUGCACCUGCAGAAAGGGUUUUGUCUUUUGCCCACUGCCUCCCACGGUGAGUCACGGCGACUUCAUCUGCCACCCGCGGCCUUGCGAGCACUACAACCACGGCACGGUGGUGGAGUUCUACUGCGACCCUGGCUACAGCCUCACCAGCGACUACAAGUACAUCACCUGCCAGUACGGGGAGUGGUUUCCCUCCCUACCAGGUCUACUGCCUCCAGUCCGAGCACACCUGGCCUGGCACACACGAGACCCUCCUGACCACCUGGAAGAUUGUGGCAUUCACGGCCACCAGUGUCCUGCUGGUGCUGCUGCUCGUCAUCCUGGCCAGGAUGUUCCAGACCAAGUUCAAGGCCAGCUUCCCACCCAGGGGCCCCCCCAGGAGCUCCAGCAGCGACCCCGACUUCGUGGUGGUGGACGGCGUCCCCGUCCUGCUGCCGUCCUAUGACGAGGCUGUGAGCGGAGGUGCGAGUGCCUUAGGCCCCGGGCUCCUGGCUGCUGUGGGGCAGGGCUGCCUGGUGCCCGUGGAUGACCAGAGCCCCCCCGCCUACCCGGGGAUGAGGACAUGGGCACAGGGGCCUCCUGGGAGACCUGCAGCAGCGCCUCGGGCUCCUCCGAGCUGCUCCAGAGUCUGUACCCACCUCCCCCGAGUCAGACGCGUGCCUGCCCCACCCCGAGGACCCCGACCCAGUGGCCAGCACCCUGGACGUGGCAUCCACCAGCCCAGGCAUUGACAUUGCGGACGAGAUCCCUCUGAUGGAAGAAGGCCCCUAGGGCUGGAAGCGAUGACGCCACUGCCCCUCUGGGGAGGGAUCUGGAUCCACACAGCGAGGCAGAAGGACAGAGCCGGGCCCGGGUGCUGUCUAAUUCACCAUCAGUGGGCCACAACUUCUGUGGCCGAUCGGGAACUCAGUGUGGCGGACUUGCUGCCCAGCCAGCGCUGUUAAACAAGAGUCGAGGGGUGCCAGGACCAGGGAGGGGGGCACGGAAGACCAGGCCCCUGGCCGCUGAGGAAAGCGUGAAGCGUGCCUGCUGCACAGACGCCGCAACGCUCAUCCUGCUGACUGGAGAACCCCUGAAACAUGUCACGCUCACAUGGUGUAAAUUUGCUGGUUCACAUCCGCCGCUCCUGCCCCGGGAGGGCUCGGCCUCUGGAGCACCCACAUCAUGCUGCGGGAGAGGGGCAGGGCACCCGCGCCCUCUGCUACGGACCGGGCUGUCCUCCUCCCUGAUGCCUCUGCCCCUUGCCCUGCAGGGGCAGGAAUUCUGGAGACCCCGUUUGUACCUCUGCGCUCCUGUGCUCCCUGGCCCGGUGUGGCAGGUCCCUGGCGCCUUCUGGUGGAGGAGGACAUGACCAAGGUGCUGUGUGGCUCCCCUCCGCAACAGUCAACCUGAGUCUGAGCUGCUCUGCGGUCUCUCCUGUGCCUGCUCCAAGGCCUAACUGUACUUUAUUUUCCCAAACAGAAAUUGUUUCUGUACACAUAUUCUGCCUCCAAAGAAAGUGUGAAGCUGAGUUCUUUCUCCUUCUUUGCUUGGUCCUGCAGAGGCGGCCCAAGACUGUCCCCUCCUGCUUCCGGGCCCCGCCUCUCCUGCAGGUCACCGCCUGCCCUGCCGGGAGAGGGCCCAGCACCCAAGGGAGGAUUAAAACCCGAGUCUCGAGCCUGGAGACUCCUCCAGCGCGCACUGCUCUGAGGAGCUGAUCCUUUCCUCCUCUGGGCUUUAGACGAAUACACAAAGCUCCAAUCUGCACCAUCACUGAGCUGCUCACGCAACAAGGCUGGGAGCUCGAUCGAGUCUUAUUUUUCUUGGCAUAAACAGAUUAAAAAUGAAAAAGAAAACAAUGGUGCGAAGUGCGGCUUCCACGGCGGAGCAGUCAGGCGGUGCGGGGAGAUGGUGAAGUGCGGGGUCAUAAACAGCAGGCUGGAGAGACGCCAGGCGCAGGG
ensembl:lncRNA